GGGUCCGGUGGUUCAGACCAUCCAUCUCAACAAUAGGCUGGAGAAAUCUUCUCGGUUUGAAUCUUUUUUUAUUAUUAUUACUGUUUGAUUGAUGUUAGGGUUUCAGAAGCCCUUGAGCACGAGCUUCCAUGACGCCUCUGAUGCUCGAGAGGAGGCUAGGUUUGAAUUUUGAUGACCAAAUUCCAGCAAUGUUCCUUAGUGAAAAAAAUAUGAACAUAAACUUUAGGACAUGAUAACAUUACAGCUACAUCUAACGCAGUCUUCCAUCCAUCCAUCACUUGGAAUCUUGAAAGUUGUGAUACGUGCAAUUAAUGAGAUUUUUGGAUGUCUAUCACGGAGGCAAUG
rnacentral:lncRNA from 1 species